rnacentral:tRNA from 1 species
UCCCCGGUAGUAUAGUGGUCAGUAUCCCCGCCUGUCACGCGGGAGACCGGGGUUCGAUUCCCCGCCGAGGAG